rnacentral:rRNA from 1 species
UACGGAGGGGGCGAGCGUUAUUCGGAAUAAUUGGGCGUAAAGGGCACGCAGGCGGGCUUUUAAGUGAGAUGUGAAAUCCCCGGGCUUAACUUGGGAUUAGCAUUUCAGACUGGGAGUCUAGAGUAUUUUAGGGGGGGGUAGAAUUCCACGUGUAGCGGUGAAAUGCGUAGAGAUGUGGAGGAAUACCGAAGGCGAAGGCAGCGCCUUGGGAAGGUACUGACGCUGAUGUGCGAAAGCGUGGGGAGCAAACAGG